rnacentral:rRNA from 1 species
GACGAACGCUGGCGGCGUGCUUAACACAUGCAAGUCGAACGGAAAGGCCUGCUUUCCCUUGUGGAUUGCGGGUACUCGCGUGGCGAACGGGUGAGUAACACGUGAGUGAUCUGCCCCCAACUUGGGUAUAAGCCUGGGAAACUGGGUCUAAUUCCCGAUAGGACUGCAGGGUGGUGCCUGUGGUGGAAAACGAUUUUCUAGUGGUUGGGGAUGAGCUCGCGGCCUAUCAGCUUGUUGGUGGGGUAAUGGCCUACCAAGGCGGCGACGGGUAGCCGGCCUGAGAGGGUGGACGGCAACAUUGGGACUGAGAUACGGCCCAGACUCCUACGGGAGGCAGCAGUGGGGAAUAUGGCACAAUGGGCGGAAGCCUGAUGCAGCGACGCCGCGUGGGGGAUGACGGGCUUCGGGUUGUAAACUCCUUUCGACCGCGAGGAAGCCACCUGGUUGGAAGGGUGGUGACGGUAGUGGUAGAAGAAGCACCGGCUAACUACGUG